GGUGGCUCAGUGGUAGAGUGUUUGCCUUGCAUGCAUGAGGCCCCAGGUUCGAUUCCUCAGCACCA
rnacentral:tRNA from 1 species